GAUGAACGCUGACAGAAUGCUUAACACAUGCAAGUCUUUGGCGAAGCUGUGCUUGCACAGCCUAGCCAAGGCGGACGGGUGAGUAACGCGUAAGGAACUUGCCCUGCAGUCAGGGAUAACAGACGGAAACGACUGAUAAGACCUGGUAAAGUCAGGCGGACUCAUGUCCAGCCUGAUGAAAAGAGAUGCUGCAGGAGAGCCUUGCGUCCUAUUAGCUUGUUGGUGGGGUAACGGCCCACCAAGGCGAUGAUAGGUAGCCGGCCUGAGAGGGUGGACGGCCACAAGGGGACUGAGAUACGGCCCUUACUCCUACGGGAGGCAGCAGUGGGGAAUAUUGGACAAUGGGGGCAACCCUGAUCCUGCAAUUCUGUGUGCACGAUGAAGGUUUUCGGAUUGUAAAGUGCUUUCAGCAGGGAAGAAAAAAAUGACGGUGCCUGCAGAAGAAGCGACGGCUAAAUACGUG
rnacentral:rRNA from 1 species